UCCUUCCUUCUUUCCCGACUCGACUAGGUCAAUAAUUUUGUUGAAUUGUUUCUCGCUAACCUGGAUUAUUUAAAUAAUUCACUCUUAUGGACUUGUCACGUCAGCCAUAAAACUAUCAAAGAAAAUGUUCACCUGUGGUCCGUGCUCAACGCCUUCGUCGAAAGGAUUUCCAACUUUGCGGGCGGCGGCCAUAGCAGCAGCCUUUUUAACAAAUUCAUCGUAGACGUCUUCAUGAACAAACCGCAGCAGCAUUGGCCCAUGUUGGAAAAAAUGGCGUUGAAACAGGUAGAGACGGCAUUAUCCACUACGAUCCGCAUGUAAGGCAAACCACAUCUCUGAAUUGAAUUGAAUUGAUUGAAACAUUAUUAAGAUCUUACAAUCAGCAUCGGGGAAUACGACGAUUGGACUUUUCCCACCAAGUUCCAAGCUAAAACGCUUCAGGUUCGAUUUGGCUGCAUUUUCCAUGAUCAAUCUCCCGACCUUUACAACGUUAUGUUCCAGCAUUUUAGUUAAAACCUCAAAGUAAAAAUAGUUGACUAACACUGUACCGCAGUUGAGCCGGUAAACGCAAUCUUUUGGAUGUUUGGGUGCUUCGUUAAAGCUGUUCCCACUGUAUCACCGAAACCGUUGACCACGUUUAUCACUCCAGCAGGGAAUCCAGCCUGAAAUGUAAAGUGAAUCGUCGUUUAUUACACUUAUUCAAUACAAGAAAAACACAAA